rnacentral:rRNA from 1 species
AUUGAACGCUAGCGGCAGGCCUAACACAUGCAAGUCGAACGAGUGGCGGACGGGUGAGUAAUGUCUUGGAAACUGCCCGAUGGAGGGGGAUAACUACUGGAAACGGUAGCUAAUACCGCAUACCAUCGGAUGUGCCCAGAUGGGAUUAGCUAGUGGGUGGGGUAACGGCUCACCUAGGCGACGAUCCCUAGCUGGUCUGAGAGGAUGACCAACCACACUGGAACUGAGACACGGCACAGACUCCUACGGGAGGCAGCAGUGGGGAAUAUUGCACAAUGGGAGCAAGCCUGAUGCAGCCAGGCCGCGUGUAUGAAGAAGGCCUUCGGGUUGUAAAGUACUUUCAGCGAGGAGGCGUUACGCGCAGAAGAAGCACCGGCUAACUCCGUGCCAGCAGCCGCGGUAAUAC